rnacentral:rRNA from 1 species
GAUGAACGCUGGCGGCGUGCCUAAUACAUGCAAGUCGAGCGAAUGGAUUAAGAGCUUGCUCUUAUGAAGUUAGCGGCGGACGGGUGAGUAACACGUGGGUAACCUGCCCAUAAGACUGGGAUAACUCCGGGAAACCGGGGCUAAUACCGGAUAACAUUUUGAACCGCAUGGUUCGAAAUUGAAAGGCGGCUUCGGCUGUCACUUAUGGAUGGACCCGCGUCGCAUUAGCUAGUUGGUGAGGUAACGUCUCACCAAGGCAACGAUGCGUAGCCGACCUGAGGGGCGGAUCGGCCACACUGGGACUGGGACACGGCCCAGACUCCUACGGGAGGCAGCAGUAGGGAAUCUUCCGCAAUGGACGAAAGUCUGACGGAGCAACGCCGCGUGAGUGAUGAAGGCUUUCGGGUCGUAAAACUCUGUUGUUAGGGAAGAACAAGUGCUAGUUGAAUAAGCUGGCACCUUGACGGUACCUAACCAGAAAGCCACGGCUAACUACGUGCCAGCCGCCGCGGUAA